AUCCCGUGUUGCUGUGGCUCUGGCAUAGGUCUAUGGCUACAGCUCCGAUUAGACCCCUAGCCUGGGAACCUCCAUAUGCCGCGGGAGCGGCCCAAGAAAUGGCAAAAAGACAAAACAUUGGACUUGGAUAUUUACAGAACAUACACCCUGAAGGAGCAGAAUAAACAUUCUUUUCAAGAGCAUCUGGAAUAUUCUCCAGAAUGCACCACAUGUUAUACCACAAAACAUCUUAGUAAAUUUAAAAAGAUUGACAUUAUAUUAGGCAUCUUUUCAGACCACUAUGUUAUGAAAGCAGAUCAAUACAAAGAAGAAAAAAAAAACUGGAAAAAUCACAAAUAUGUGGCAGUUGAAGAUACUAUAAAACUUAAUGUGUCAAAAAACAAAUCAAAAAAAGAAAAACAUUCUUGAGACAAAUGGAAGUACAACCAAAAUAUAUGGGAUGCAGCAAAAACAGUUCUAAGAGAGAAAUUCAUAAUGAUAAACACCUACAUCAAGAAAAUAAGAUCUCAACCUAACCUUACACCUCAAGGAAUUAGAAAAAGAAAAACAAAUUAAGCCCAAAGCUAGUAGAAUGAAUGAAAAAAAAAAAAGAUCAGAGAGGAAAUAAAUGAAAUAAAGAGUAAAGAGACAAUAGAAAAGAUCAAUAAAACUAUGAGCUAUCCUUUUGAAAUGAUAAAACAGACAAACAUUUGGUUAGAGUCACCAAAAAAUGGGAGUAUUUCAAAAAUGAAGAGGAGACAUGAGACAUGAGGAAAUAAUACCACAGAAAUAAAAACAAUCAUGAGACAAGAUGAACAAUAUAUACCCAACAAAUUAGAUGACUAGAAGAAAUGAAUAAAUUCCUAGAAAAAUACAACCUACAAAGACUAAUUUUUGGAGAAAUAGAAAACCUGAAGAAACCAAGUACUAGGAAGGAGACUGAAUCAGUAAUCCAAAAUCCCCCAACAAACAAAAGUCUGGGACCAGAAGUCUUCACUGAUGAAUUCUACCAAAAAAAUUAAAGAAUAAUUUCAUUCCUUUUCAAGCCCUUCCAAGAAAUAGAAAAGGAGGGAACACUUUUUUACUUAUUUGUCUUUCAUCCUUUUAGGGCUGCACCAGCAGCAUAUGGAGGUUCCCAGGCUAGGGGUCUAAUUGGAGCUAUAGCCGCCAGCCCACGCCAGAGCCACAGCAAUGCCAGAUUUGAGCCGCAUUUGCGACCUACACCACAGCUCACGGCAACGCUGGAUCCUUAACCCACUGAGCAAGGGCAGGGACCGAACCCGCAACCUCAUGGUUCCUAGUCGGAUUCAUUUCCACUGUGCCACAACAGGAACUCCAAGGAGGGAACAUUUAUAAACAAACUUUAUGACGUCACUUUUACCCUGAUAUUAAAAUGAGAUCAGGCAACUACAAAAUAAGUAAAUAAAUAGAAUACAGGCUAAUAUCUGUGAGAAACAUGGAUAAAAUCAGGGACAAGACAAGGAUGCCCACUCUUGUCACUUUUAUUCAGUAUAGCUCUAGAAGUUCUAAGUAGACCAAUUAGGCAAGAAAUUAACAGCAUUCAACUUGGAAAGGAAGUAAAACUGUCUCUAUUUGAAGAUAACAUGAUAUUAUGGUAGAAAACCCUAAAGACUCUGCCAAAAAAUUAAAAAAACAACUUCAAUAAUUUGCAGGAUAUAAAAUAUACACAUAAAAAUCAGUUGCAUUUCUAUACACUAAUAAUAGAAAAUGAGGCCACUUAACAACUACAUCAAAAAGAAUAAAAUAUCUAGGAACAAAUUUAAUCAAGGAGAUGAAAGAUCUGCACAAUGAAAACUAUAUGACACUGAUGAAAAAAAUUGAAGAUGACACAAAUAAACGUUCUGUGAUCAUAGAUUGGAAGAAUUAUUGUUUAAAUAUUCAUACUACCCGAAGAAUCUCAGAUUCAAUGCAAUCCCUAUCAAAAUUCCAAUGUCAUUUUUUCACAAAAAAAGACAAAACAGUCCUAAAAUUCAUAUGGAAUCACAAAAGAUUGAAUAGCAAAGCAGUCUUAAGAAGAAUAAAGUUAGAAGUAUCACAAUUCCUUAUUUUGAACUAAAUUACAAGGCUAUAGUAAUCAAAGUAGUAUGGUAUUGGCAUUAAAAACACAUCUAUCAGUGAAACAGAUAACCCAGAAGUUAACCCACGCAUAUAUGAUCACUUAAUUUAAGACAAAAAAGAGAAGAAUAUACAUGAGGAAAAAACUGUCUGUUUAAUAAAUGGUGUUGGGAAAAUCAGACCAUUACUUAUACCAUAUGAACUCAAUAAAGAUUAAAGAUUUGAAUGUAAGAUCUGAAACCAUAAAACAUCCAGAAGAAAACAUAGGGAUUAAGCUCUUUGACACUGUUAAUUGUGAUGAUUGUUUUGGAUUUGAUACCAAUAGCAAAAAAGAUGUAAAGCAAAGACAAACAAAUGAGACAGCAUUAAGCUAAAAAAAUUUUCUACAGCCAAAGUAACCAUUAACGAAAUGAAGAAAACCUACAGGAGAAAAUAUUUGCAAAUUAUAGGGUUAAUAUUCAAAAAAUAUAAAGAACAUUUAUAACUCAUUAGCAAAAUACCUCAAAUCUUUUUAAAAAAUGGAAAAAUUGAACUGAUUAGACAUUUUCUCCAAAGAGAUGUAGGUACAGAAUAGCCAAUAGGUACAUGAAAAAGUAUUUAAUAUUACUCAUCAGAAUAAUGCAAAUCAAAACUAUGAGAUAUCACCUCAAGCCUGUUAGAAUAAUUAUCAAAAAGACAAGAAUUAGCAAGUGUUGGCUAGGCUAUGGAGAAAAGGGAAUACUUGUAUACUAUUCCUGGGGAUAUAAAUUGGUACAAACACAAUGGAAAAGAGUAUGGAGCAUCCUCAAAAAAUUAAAAAUAGAACUACCCCAAUGAUCCAGCAAUUUCAACUCUAAAUAUAUAUAAAGGAAAGAAAAAUCACUAUCUUGAAAAGAUAUCUGCAUCCCCAUGUUUAUUGCAGCCUUAUUUACAAUUGCCAAAUGUGGAUACAACAUAAGUGUCCAUUGACAGAUUAAUGGAUAAAGAAAAUAUGUGUGUAUAUUAUAAACAAUGGAAUAUUAUUGUCAUAAAAAAUAAAAUCCUGCCAUUUGCAACAACAUGGAAAAGUAAGUCACACUGUCUUUAAAUGUUUGUUGAAUUUUUAUCAUUCUUAUGUUGAAUUAAAAACAAACUCAGAACACAAUGAUGGUUUCCAGAUGCGAGAUGUGUGCAAAAUAGGUGAAGGUGUUGUUUUCAUUUUUUUAUACAAGCUCCCAUGUAUAAGAUUACUAAAUUCUGGGAUGUAGUAUGUAGCGAGAUGCUUAAAGUUAACAAUACCAUAUUGUAAUCUGAAAGUUGCUAAUCUUAAAUUUCUCAUUACAAGGAAAAAAUUGUAACUCUGUGUGGUGAUGGAUUAACUAGACUUACUGUGGUAUAUAUUUCACAAUAUAUACAGGUAUCAUGUAUCAUAUCACAAUAUUGUCCACCUAAAACACAAUGUUAUAUGUCAAUUAUAUCUCAGUAAAACUGGAAAAAAAGGGUGGAAAACAAUUCAGGAAUAGACAGUAUAGAAAGAUCCACUGACUUAAGUUUAAGUUUCUUUUGUUGUUAAAUAAUAUGGUAAAUUUCCUCUUCCUUGACUCUUUGGAGGAAGGAAAAUUUGAGAUUUAGAUCCAUAUGUUCUGAGGAUUACAACAUAAGAAGGAUGUUUAAACUAUCACAGAAUGAAGAGUAUAGGAAACAGACAUCAGUAGCUGAAGCUUAGGGGCAAGAGGUUAAGGGAAGCUGGAGUAAAGAAAGCAAUGGAUGAGUUAAGGGGAGAGGAGGGAAGAGAAAUAACAAAAAUAUAGUUCUCUCAAGACUGAAAUUAAGUAUGUUAAGACCACAUAUAUUAUAUGGAGAGGAAAAACACAUUUAUAUAGCCAUAAAUAAACAGACAACAAAACUGAUAAAACUCUCCCAAAACCUCCAAAAACACCACAGACAAUCUUAUCAACAGGGGCUUCAAAUCUUUUGUAAUGAUAUUUUUGAUAUUUUUAGUUUUCUACCAGGUUUAAUAAAAAAACAAGAUACCAAACCAGCAUAUUUGAUAUUAGAAAUUAUCUAUAUAUAUGGAACUAAAAUAUCCAUUAUCACAUAAUAUAGUAUUUUCAUGUCAGUAUGAUAUAUGUAUGUAUGUGUAUGUAUAUAUAUAUACACACAUAUUUAUGUACAUACACAUUAUAUAUAUAUAAAAUUAUAUGAUUUCCAUUCCUAUUCCAGAGAAGGGAUUUAAGUACCUGAGUCAAUAUUUGUUGUGUCAUCUCUGCCACUCUAAAGUCUGAUUUUGGUGUCUUUGGAAAAUAUUUAAAAAAAUCAGCUGCUCAGAGAAAACCAGCACUACUCACCCUAGUGAAGAAAGAGAAUCUGACAUCUGAAGCAUGGUCACAGUUUCUGGAUAUUUCUUACUAUUUGAGCAGUUAAGCAGAAUUGAGUGCAUUUGGCAGCCUUAGUGAAAUGUAUAUAUUUUAUGAUUAAAAUUGUUUUAUGAUUUGAUAACUGACAAAGCCUUGUAAAGUUAUAGAUAAAUCACAUUGUUAUAUAUGGAAUAAGUCACUCUGCUCUUUUUUUACACUUACCAAGCUUUGCUAUAAUAGUAACAUUUGUAAUUUUAUUCAUUUGUUUAGUAUCCUUGUUGCUUACUAGACUGUAAGCUCCAUAAAGUUCAGAGCCAUGUUUUUUGUUCACCAUUGUAAACUUAGGAAAGUACCCAGCACUUAAUAUAUAAUGAAUAAAUAUAUGAAUGU
rnacentral:lncRNA from 1 species